AUGGAACGCUGGGUUCUAGAAGGUGAUAGCUACUCUUUUCUUCGCAGUGCUCCACACACGUUCAACCUGCAGAGUCAUGAAGGGCCAAAUCGUGUGGAGAUCUUUGAUAUCACUUCCAUCCCCAGCCAUCAUAAUGCCAUAUCUGAAACAACCUGCCUGUGUGACAUUUUUGGGGAUGACGGCGAGUCUCCGUCACUUUCCAGUAGCCCAGCCUCUGCCGCAUUUAUCAGGAGGGAAGUGGAUCAGUCUUUUCCAGUAGAUGAUACCAAUGACUCUUUAGGAUCUUACCACACUGCCAAUGGAUCCGACUUAAGCGACAAUGCUGAAGUCACUUACAACACACCUUCUCCAGAAAAUACACCAGAUUUUUCCACAUCUGAGACCAGGGAAUCACGUUCACCACCAACUAAAUCACCCAUCUUGUCUGAUACCAAAAAUAGACUUAACCAAUUAGAGUGCACACCACCUGCAUCCAAAGUCAAUAGUAGUGACCUUUCACAUACAGAUAACUGGGAAGAAUCCCAAGUGUCAGUAAUCACUGCCCCAGUGAAUGAAACGGCAAUCACAAAUGCAUCUGAACCACAGUAUGUGAAUUCAACACCAGCUACCACCCUGAUUAAUCCGGCAAAGAAACCUUCUAAUCCUACAUCCUGCUCUUCAGAAGAGAAAGAACCUGCUGUUUUUGAGCAAGAAGGAAUUAUUAAAACACCUCAACAUACAAGCACAAGCCCAUUUUUAGAUAAACAAAUAUUUGAGUCAGACUGUGAAUCUUUGGCAGUAUCUCCACUUAAACAAAAUGUUGUGAUGUCUUCUGAGGACAAAGUGAGUAUGAUCUAUUGUAGUCCACGAGAGCAAAACAUUCUCUUUGUGCAAGGGACGAUGAACAGUGGCUCUGCAUCAGAACUGUCAAACCCUUCUCCAACAGAUUGCAGCCUUAUGCAGGAAAUGUUUACUUCAUCUUCAUCCAUAACCAGUGUCAUGCCAGAACCCAGAUUAACCUCCACCUCGCCUGUAAGCAAGGAAACUACCUCCACACCUGCAUCCACCGGUAGAUCUUCACCUGAGCUGCUGAAUUUGUGUCCAACUCAAGUUAGGAACACAUCAGAGACUCCAGACUUGGAGGACAAUUAUGGUGCUACUUUAUCUGUAUCUACACUGCCUACCAGUGAUAAUGGGAAAAUAGAUUCCCUAUCUGUGUCUGACAUUUCUACUGAAACAAGAGGACUGGUAUACUCAUCCAAAGAUAGAAGAGAAAGACUGGAAUCACCUGAGAUCAAUGAAACCUGCUCUUCUCCUGAUCACUCAGCACCUGGUCACUCACAAGAACCAGUACUGAUUCACUCCCCUGUAGGUUACACCAUCAGUCCAUCACCUACAUAUGAGAAAAUAUCUUCUUCAGUCCAACCUGAAGACUCACCAUCCUCCCCUGUAUCACCUGAGAUCAAUGAAACCUGCUCUUCUCCUCAUCACUCAGCAUCUGCUCACUCGCCAGAACAAGUAAUGAUUCACUCCCCUGUGGGUUACACCAUCAGCCCAUCAUCUACAAAUGAGAGAAUCGUUUCUUCGACUGAACCUGAAGACUCACCAUCCUUCCCUGUAGUCACAAGGAUUGAAUACAGGGAUAUUUGCUCUUCUCCUGAUCACUCAGAACCAGUAAUCAUUCACUCGUCUCCGUGUUACAACAUCAGUCCAUCACCUACAAAUGAGAGACGGGUUUAUUCAACUGAACCUGAUGCCUCAACAUCUUCCCCCUGCGGUCGCAGUGAUAUGCACUCCUCUACUGAUCACUCUAUUCCAGCUCACUCACAAGAACCUGAAAUUAUUCACUCACCAAAGGGUUAUACUAUCACCCCAUCACCUACAAAUAAGAGAAUGUUUUUUUCAGUGGAACCUAAUGAUCUACCAUCCUCUCCUGCCAUCACAGGAACUGAUUACACAGCAACACCUACAUACAGUAGAGAUUCCACACCUGCGUUAAGGAGCAUUACCUCUACUCCAAACAGCAGAGAAAAUUACCUUACACCAGAGCCCAAUUCCCCAGCCCCUUCACUGGAAUUGAGAUCAGUUACCUGCUCACCUGAAAUCAAAACAAUAUCAUAUAGUGUUCUGCCACAAAAUACAAAAUCCCCAGGCAUCACAUAUAACGUUACACCAACCAAAGAUUUAGCCCAAUCAACAAAUGUCUGUGACAACUCUUCUGAAUCUUCCAGCUAUCUUUUUGGAAAUGACACCUCUGUCUUACCUAGCUCAAGGAACUUUUUGCCAACACCAGAGAGUAGAUCAAGGCCCCCAUCAGCUACAUCAGACCAUACCAAACACACAACACUAUCCUCUUAUCUCCAACCUGAGCCUUCCAUUACUCUUGGAAAGGCAGAAAAUCAGAGUUUAUCCAUAAUCUGUGAUGGAGUUAGUCAUCCUUUCUCUAACCCAAUAGACUGUUUUGAUUGUUUUGAUGACCAUGCUGACCCAACAACCUUGAAAAGCCUUGCAUUUGUCCCAGAUGAAUGUAAAGGCAGUGGACCACCAGUUCAGAUACUGCAAGAUUCAACCUCUAAAACCUCAGAUUCUGGAUCGUCAACAAUAAAAAUUGCGAAAAGUCAACAAAAUGUCACUGACAACACAACUGAUUUAACCUCCCCGUGUGCAUGGGAUGCAUCUCUGCCGAAGCCAGUGCCAUCUGUAGAGAAGAAACAAUGCCAUGUUGAGGUUUUUGAUAGGAACAAGGGAACAGAAAUGUUAAAAAAUGAUUCCCCAAGCAGUGACAAGAUGCUUAGUCAAGUGCCUGUAGCAUUAAGAGAAAGGCCAGAGGUUAUCAGUAGGGACAAUGGUGGUGAAUUUGACAGGCAACCAUGCAGGGAAAAAGAGGAGAGUGGAAAGAAGGAGGGAGAGGGGGAGGAGACUAUUGGAGAGAGUAGUUACAGAGGGGAACAGGUUGAGCUGUCAUUCAGUGCCAGGAAUAGAAAAGGGCCUGCAGGCCACAGCCCAGCUCUCUCAAGUCGAGACCCAAAGUCGGGAAUUCCAGCUCGCUGUUAUUUUGAGUCGCACCCAACAACUUUGCAGCAACAGAGUCAGCUCAGAGCUCAGGGCUCACAACAAGAGAACAAGGGUGGCGCCAGGAGGCUCCAGUCAGCUGCCCAGGGUAAAUACAGCAGUGCAGGCUUUCUUCCUCCUGAAUGUACUGGUGAGACCUCCAACAUGGGAAGUGAAUUUGAUGAAGCAGACAAUGAAGUAAAGUGGUUUACAGAUCUGGCCUUCAGAAGCCUAUCUAGUCCUCAGGUGGAUUAUUUGGAUGUGUACAAUUCAAGCCACAGGUCCUCUACAAAUGUUUCACAGCCAUCGACUGUAGACAGCCCUGGAGCUGUUGCAUGGAUGACCUACGCAGAUUUACGUGGCUCAGCUUUACAUGAACAUGAUGGUUCGUCUUUUUUAUCCCGUGAUGUCCUGGACCCAAACAAACGCUUUGAAAUGGGGAGUUUUGAGUGUGUGGAUGUUGCAUUAGAGAGCAAGGAAGAAUCCAGUAGAGGAAAGAGGACAGUACCUAAAAGGCAGAUCCAGCUGUUAAGGCGGAACACAGAUGAAUCAAAGCAUAAAGGAAACAAUGAAAAUAUUUUGAAUUCACCCUCCACAUAUAGACACUCAAAAGACGCACUUGUUCGUCAACAUAGCACCCCAGCUAUUGUGCAAGAGGAAGUUUCCAAGGAGGUGCCAAAUUCACCACAAAAUGACAGGAAAAAGACCUUGCAGAAGUCUGUGUCUUUAGAUGAUGGCUCCCCUAAGACACAAAUGGCAUCUUGCAUUAUCAAGAGUGUAUUGUCAAAGAAAAUGCAUGAUGUGCAGAAAGAGACACCAAAAAGUACAGACCCAAGUCCUUCUGGAGAUAAAAAUAAACAUCUUGAUGUCAGCCCCAGCUCUUUUGAUGGUGUACCAAGUACCAUGGAGAAACAUAGUUUAAGCUCUAGCCAGCAUUCUGAAUGUACUCUUUCAUCUGAAGAUUUUGCUGCGGGAGAGGAGAGAAUUUCACAUCGUCAGCCGAAGAAGUGUGCUCCAAAGGUUCCACCAAAGCCAUUCUUAAGACCUGCAUUCUUUAACAAUGGGGAAGCUCAGGUAGCUGGCAACAUUGCAAGGGAAGAAACCAAGCCUAUAGUGGCUCCUCCACAAGUUGAUGACAAAAUACAAAACAGCAAGAGUGAUAGGAAAGAGGGAGGAGGUAGCAACCUUGAAGAGAAGUACAAUUGUGACUCAGCAAAUGCCAGUAUCAGUAACACAAGUCCUGUUGUUGCUACACCAGCAAUAAGCAUGCAGAACAGAAUGACAACCAGAGACAUAAAAAAGCGCCAGAUGACACCGGAAAACCAGGAACAACUGGCUGGAAAGAGUGUAUUUAUGUCGAAAACCCCAGAGAUAACUUUGAAACCUUCUUCUAUCAAAGGAAAAAAGACAUCUUCUCUGAAAGUGUCUUUGUCCCCUGACUUGGAACAGUCCAGAGAAAUAUCUAAAUCUCAGGCAAUAGAGAAAGCUGCAGAAGAUAUAAGCACCAAAUCUACUAAAGUCAUAGAGACAGAAGAUGACGAUGACAGCAACAAAAAAUCUGUUAUACAUAGAGUUAGGGAUGUGAGGAAGUUAGUGAAAAACACAUACAACCUGUCUUUCAAAGCAUCAAAUUCAACCUCUACUGCAGAAGAGACAGUUAUUCAAGGGGAAAGAGAGAAGCCGCCGCAAACUCCUCCAGCCUUACACAUUGAAUGUAAAGCUAUCAGUUGGAAGGACAAACAAACAUCAGGCAGCAAAGCAAUCCACUGUCAUGAUGAAAAACUGCCUGUUGACAUAUCAAAAAUAUCACAACCAUGGGUGAGCGCAGAGACAAAAAGAGAUGCUGACAUCACUGAAAUAACAUCCAAAGGCUCAAAACAAAACAAAGAGUCAAAACAAAAAGCACCAUAUUCUCACUCUACGACCACAGAUGGAUUACCUGAAUCAGAAGGUAUCAAUAAAAGAUCUUCCAUUCACUGUGAUCAGAGUUCUAAGAUGCCCCCUAGACCCCCAAGUAAGGACCGAGAAGUUUCUGCAUUGGUGGUUCUACCAGAUUGCACAUCCAAGACAAAGUCUGUUUCCCCUACAAUCCUUGACUCUACUCAAAUGAAAGCUGCAACCAGCAGCCACUCUGUAUCCAUGCUACUGAAAGAAAAAGGGAUGCAAGCUGACAUUGGAGUGUGUGAUGUUCUCACUGAAGGUGCAAGUGCUACAGCUAAACAUGUCAACAGGCUUGAGGUACCUGUACAGGCAUGUUCAUCAGAAAGCAUUUCAAGUGAAGUACAAGUAAAGGCAGAAAAUACAUCAUUGCCUUGCAAUCCAACAGCAUUUGUCAAUGAUUCAUCAAGAAUAUCUCAACCAAGUGAGAGUCCCAAGGGAAUACUGACAGAAGAAUCUUUAACAAAGGAACAAGAAAAAAAGAAAACUACCACUACAACACAAAUUCCAACCUAUUUAGCAACAUCUGGCAAGCCAGAGGUGAGGUCUUUUUCAAGCAGUACAAAAAAUAAUGCCACACCAGUGAAUGCAUCAAAAGAGAUUGAGUUACCCAUACAAGUGAGAUCAAUAUCCACUGAUAGACUAAAGCCAUUUGUAACACCAAAACCCAGCUAUAAACAGUCAUUUGCAGAAGUUAAGUCAGUGUCAAGUGACCCAUCAAAAGCAGAUACUCAAGCAUUGUCUGUUAUUAAACAGCAAACAAUAUUAAGUAGUGAAUCAAAGAAAAAUGAAACCCCAUCAACAGUGACACACAAGGAUCAACCAAACGAGACUUCAUCAACAGAUACAAAAAGACUGGCUGUAUCAGCUGUAUCAAGCUGCAAACCACCAUCCAUCCCAGUCACAGCAACUCCAAGUGUUGUGCAAAAAUCCACCACAAAGACACUGUCCAGUCUGGAUCAACAGCAAUCUACUGCUUUCUUGCAACCAGCAACCAGCACUUACCAGCAGCAAACCCCAUCAUUCAGUCAAGACCAGUCAAUUCUAGAUGGUUCCAUUGCUUUUAACUCAUCAGGACCACAAGCCCUUAACCACACACCAUCUGUGACAAGAGCAUCAUCUAAUAAUCGUUUUCACACAGAUGACUAUCUUUUCUACGCUUCAGAUGAUCCUCCCAGCUAUGAUGAGCGGGAGAGUUUCAGCCCGCUACGGCUCUCAGACUUACCCCCACAUAGGUCACGUAGGUCUUCUUGCUCCUGCAUGCCAAGUUCUCAUUCGCAUCAAGGACAUCCCAACAACAGUCCACAGGAACGGGUACCAGCAGCCUCUCGGUCUCCAGGCCAAGUCCUUACCUGUCCUGGUGCUCCUCCGCAAGCUCAAGUUCGUCCUCAUCAGUGCAGACCAGAUGGUCUACCAGUCUCCAAUAUCACAAUACCUCAUGCCUCAGCUUUGAUUCAGCCUCUACACAAUCCACGAGCUUGUCCAGUUUCAAACUCACAAUCCUAUGGUGAUGACCAUCCUCCAGCUUCUGGGCUGCAUGCAGAUAGACGGCCAGCCAAUCACCCUUCACCUCAGGCAGCAGCUCCUGCUCCCUAUCAUGAGUAUUCUCAUUCAGCAAACAUGUCUACUCUGGAUCCCCGGCCUCAGUUGUUUAAUCCUCAAGAUUUGACUCCAUCUUUUGGCCACGAUUACACAAAUGAAGGUCCAGGUGGAGCUGGUGUAUUGUAUCCAGAGAAUGCAAGUGGGCUCAGCUGUGGCCAAGGUGCCCGUCGUGUUCUUCUUGAUCCUGAGACUGGUAAAUACUUCUACAUUGAGGUACCAAUGCAACCACUCAGAAAAAUGCUGUUUGAUCCUGAAUUGGGCCAGUAUGUAGAAGUUCUCAUACCACAUCAGGCAAUGUCCCAUUCAGGGCUAUAUCCACCAGCUGCACCACCCUACUCCUCUUUGCACAGUCCUGGGUUGUAUGCACCACAGUACCUGCCUUACGCAGUGCCAUCUUACCCAGCAAUCUCAGGUACUGCCCCGCAAAUUCGCCAUCCAGAGCCACCUCCUGUGCCCACCACACUUCACCAGACUUCCUUAAGGUAUGGAAGCCCUGCAAGCCAGAUGCCAAAAAAUGAACCAAAAGGCCAUUCUUCACUGGAUCAAAGCUAUCUAGAGAGCAUGUAUUACAUCCCCACUGGGAUGAAUGCAAGCCCAAAUGCAACCCCUUCAGAAUGCUACCACAAGCCAUCAAGCAUGCCUCCUUCAGGGGGACGAAGAGCAUGA
ensembl:lncRNA